rnacentral:lncRNA from 1 species
GUCGACGUCACCGGCUUUCUAGCCUCCUCUGAUCUACAUUUCUUUUUCCAUUUAUUUUGUCUGUAUUGUACACACCUGGUUCCCAUUACAUUUUAAUUAUUUCCCUAUUUAACCCUCUGGAGCCACCAUGGUUUUGUGCAUGUUUAUUGUUGUCAGUUGUCUCGUUUAUGUGAUUCUGGAUUUUCGUUCUCCUUGUUAGAAAAUUACUAUUAUUACUCAUCUCUGUGUCCUGCGCCUGACUCCGCCUUACCCACAUCACCUAGACUCUGACAGAAACAUGCACCUUCAAUGGAGUCAGCAGGUGCACACAGCCCUCCUCUACCUAUGGAGGAGCGCGUCCACCAGCACGUGACUAUGUUGCAAAGUCUCGUCACAGCCAUGGAUCACGUGCUGCAAACCAUGGAGCGAUGGGAGAGAGGGGGUUUUCCAGCAACCCCAUCAUCAUCACCCCAGCUCCCACAACAACCCACACCGCUGUCCACCCCUCUUUCACUUGGAUGCAGUGGGAUUCGGCUCGUGCUCCCGAGGGUAUACGAUGGAAUGGUUGCAGGGUGCCAGGGGUUCCUACUCCAGCUGGGGCUCUACCUGGCAACCGUUCACCCAGCUCCUUCGGGACGCGAGAGUGUAAACGCCCUCAUCUCCUGUUUGACUGGUAGAGCACUCGAAUGGGCCAAUGCAGUCUGGGGAAGGGAAGGACCGAUUUUGGACAAUUAUGAGGAUUUCACCUGCCGCUUCCGGGCGGUUUUCGAUCAUCCACCUGAAGGGAGAGCGGCGGGGGAACGCUUAUAUAAUCUCAGACAGAGGAUGAGGAGCGCACAAGACUUCACUUUUGACUUUCGAACUCUGGCCACCGGCGUGGGAUGGAAUAGUGGGGCCCUGACCGACCACUACAGGUGUGGUCUACGCGAGGACGUUCGUAGGGAGCUAGCCUGCAGGAACACCACCCUUACCUUUGACCAGCUGGUGGACCUAUCCAUCAGGCUGGAUAACCUGUUGGCCUCCCG